AAUGAUAAGGGUGACCUUGUGAAUGCUAUCAUCUCAAAUAUUGAUCCUAAAUGUCAGGCAAGAGUUUGGUAUCCAUUAAUAAUUGAGAGGCAUCCUCGUUAUUCUCAGAAAAGACAUCUGGUGAUAAUUUAGUGCACAGAGCAGGUAAGGGCUUAAUGAGUCAAAUAAUGAAAUAAUGUAUCUUCUCUGUGAUUUAUUCACUAUACAGGGAGUUGUGGAUAAUAGUAAAUGUUAUGCCAAAGGAGCUAUAGUGAAUAAAAUUCAGCUCCGAUGUUUUUUCCUUUAAAUGGACUACGGGGUUAGGAAACCAUCGGCACUCCAGAUGUUGAGGACUACAUUCAUCUCCCCUGAUGCUUUGCCAGCAUUAUGGAUGCUAGAGCAGUAUUGGAGAUGUAAUCUACAAAAUCUGGAGUGCCGA